GACGAACGCUGGCGGCGUGCUUAACACAUGCAAGUCGAACGGAAAGGCCCUGUUUGUGUGGGGUGCUCGAGUGGCGAACGGGUGAGUAACACGUGAGUAACCUGCCCUUGACUUUGGGAUAACUUCAGGAAACUGGGGCUACUACCGGAUAGGAGCUCCUGCUGCAUGGUGGGGGUUGGAAAGUUUGGGCGGUUGGGGAUGGACUCGGGGUUUAUCAGUUUGUUGGUGGGGUAGUGGCUUACGAAGGCUUGGACGGGUAGCCGGCCUGAGAGGGUGACCGGCCACAUUGGGACUGAGAUACGGCCCAGACUCCUACGGGAGGCAGCAGUGGGGAAUAUUGCACAAUGGGCGGAAGCCUGAUGCAGCAACGCCGGGUGCGGGAUGACGGCCUUCGGGUUGUAAACCGCUUUCGCAUGUGACGAAGCGUGAGUGACGGUAAUGGGUAAAGAAGCACCGGCUAACUACGUG
rnacentral:rRNA from 1 species